AAAGAUACAACAAACAAGGAACAGAGUCUGACAUAACCGCCCCCCAGAAGGCGUGUCCUCACGCCACAUAACAUCCAAUGGGGGGGGGGGGGUGCUCUGGGGGGUCCCUCAGGAUAGGACACGGGACGGUGGGCCUCCAGAGCGGUACCCGUUCGCAGUGCCAUGGUGAAUCAGGCUGCUCGGGGAGCUAUGGCAGAGCAGGGGAAAUUUACAGGGCUGUACUUAGGGCCUGGAGCCCUCCCUGGGCUUAAAGGGGGAUCUGGAGCCCUCCCUGGGCUUAACGGGGAACAGGAGCCCUCCCUGGGCUUAAUGGGGAGAUUGGAGCCCUCCCUGUGUGGAACAGGGGAUCAGGAGCCCUUCUUGGGUGGAACUGGGGAUCAGGAGCCCUUCUUGGACAUAACUGGGGAUCAGGAGCCCUCCCUGGGCCCAAUGGGGAAUCAGGAGCCCUUCGUGGGCUAUACUCGGGAACAGGAGCACUUCCUGGGCUGAACUGAGGAUCGGGGGCCCUUCCUGGCCUUAACGGGGAACCUGGAGCCCUCCGUGGGCUAUGCUCUGGGGCUGGGCCGACACUGAAGCGAACUCUGGGGCCUGGGGCAUACACUAGAGGAUGCUCUGGAGGUGCGGGCACUUGAGGGCGCUCUGGAGGAGCAGGCACUUGAGGGCGCUCUGGAAGGCACUUUCGAGGAGUGGGCACUAAAGGGUGCUCUUGAAGACGCUUACAAGGAGUGGGCACUGGAGUGAGCUUUGGGGCUGGCAGGCUUACCGACAUUAACGUCUGGUGAGCUUCCACAUUAAGUCCGGCGGGCUUGCCACAUUAACGUCUGGUAGGCUUGCCACAUUCACAUCCGGCUGGUUUGCCACAUUAACGUCCAUAUGCCAUAUGAAUGGCCAGUGAAAUUGACUCGGGAACUACCAGCGGGCUUGACUCGGGAACUGCCGGCUGACUUGGUCUAGCUGUGGACGGCAGCGGGCUUGAUUUCAUUGCGGCCUGCAGGCUGGUUCUGGCUCGGGGCAGGAUGCGUUCCAGACACCGGAGGAUUCCGGCUUAGUCCCGUGGUGUCUGGGAGGUCCACGGGGCGAGGGUAGUUGGCCCCGUCCCAGAACAGCAUGUUUAUGGUGGCGUCGUCGAGGGCCGUAGCUGCAGCGAGCCCGCAGAACUCCCACAAAUUAGACUUGAUCCUGCCUUACUAUAAUUGAUCUAAGCUUAUUAGCAGGCCCACACAGAAUCAGCACCUGCAGAUUCCACAGAAUAUUCCACAGAGAAGGAACAUCAUUCACAAAGUUCUACAAACCCCUACAUAAUCUUUUAGCUAAUUUCACAAUGCUGCCAGGAAGAGUGUGUCUAGUACUCUCAGCUCGGUUUAACACAUUCUACUAUGUCUAGAAGUAAAAUAAUGUUUAUGAUGUUCGGUAGAAUAUUUUAACAUGGAAAGACAAUUCUUAAAAGAACACUCUUAAAAAUAAAGGUUCUUUAAUACACUCUAAAAAUGCUGGGUUAAAAAAAAAAACUAGCAAUAUGGUUGUUUUGAUGCAGCUUUUGGGUUAAUUGUUUAACCCAACCUUCUGAUAUGUUCAAUAAAUGGCCAUUUACACUAUAAAAAAUGUUGUGUUCAAAACAACCCACCUUGGGUUCUAACCCAGCACUGGGUGAAUACUGGACAGAACGGAUGCUGGGUUAUUUUGACCCAGCUGAUUGGGUUAAAUGUUUUUACCAACCAUGCUGUUUUUUUUAUUAAUUAAAAGUGCAGUAGGAGAUCUUGGAAAAUGCUAACUUUAGCCUCCUGUUUCACUCGUAACUGAGAGAAGGUGUGCCUGAUAUUUUAACAUCAAAUUAAAUUAAACUCAGUAUUAUAAUGAAUAAAAUCCAUUUAUGUUAUGCAAGGCAAAAGGCGUUUCCAUCAUACAAAGUGAAUGACCGAUGACGCAGCUGACUGACAUCUCUUCCUUAUGUUGUGUACAAUAAUAAAAUGUAAUAAAAUGUAUACAAACUUUUAUUUUGCUGAAGAAGCACACCAAAUCAGCGACCACUCUCUCCUAUAGAGGACUCAAAAAGCCCUCUCUGGGUUUCGUUGGAGACAGGUUCAACCCAGCAGUUGAUAGACAAAAAAUAACCCAGCGACCAAGAAACUUAGUUACAGAAAAACUAACCAACAACUGGGUAAAACAAUAUUAAAAACAACCCAAUAAAAUUACCCAACAAGCUGAACCCAGCAUUUGGGUUAAAAAAUAACCCAGCAUUUUUUAAUUUGAAUAAAUAAUAAUUAAAUAAUUAACAUUUUUAAAAUGACUUAUUAAUACAUUUUCUCAUUUAGAUUUUUGCAGAUGCCCCUAUUAACUAUGUGUCUGAUUUUUAAUUUGCAAGCUAUUUUAGGUUGAUUUUAAAGCAGCCAUAUAGUAAUUUUAACAAUAGUUGAAUUAAAUAAAACUACCCAGAAGGUUGGUGUAACCCACCCAAAGUAACAGGAAAGGCUUAAUGUAAGUGGUGUGUGCAGUUAUGGAUGUGGCAUGUAUAUACGCAGGUGAACAGUCUCAAGAGAGCAGAGCCAGCGUUAUACACGUUAUGAGAUUGCAAAUUUGAAUCCUCCUGUGAAAAAGGUUACGUGAUGCAUGAUAUGCUCAGAGGAAACAGAGUUCAUCAUUUUUUUCCCCUCAUAAUCACAAACUGAUCGUUUUUUUUUCCUUCCUAUUUCCUUGUGGUCUUCAAUGCCACAAGGUUGUUGGAUCAAAGAUGGCGAGCCAGUGAAACUCUGGAGAAGAAAUAUCGCAAGCAGUGAAGUUUUCUAUGUGCAAUCUCUCAGCGAUUUGUAGGAUCUUCGAUCUCAACUGAACUUUUCAUUGAGUGAACCUACACAAGGAUCAGAUAAGAACUUUUGAUCAUAUUUACUACUCGAGUAGAUAUUGACGAAAAUACUUUUUUUCUGCUUUUUUAUGGGCCCAAGUUUUAUUUAGUUUAUUUACUAUUAUUGAACAAUAAUUGUAUUUUCCUUUUGACUUAAUCAAAUUGCACUUUCAUAUUCUAAAAGGAAUGGUGCAAUAAAACUGUGCAGUUGUUGAAUAU
rnacentral:lncRNA from 1 species